rnacentral:rRNA from 1 species
GAACGGUCAGUUCCUACCGGGAAGUCAGCGAUAGUAAUCUUUCGCAUGACGACCGACGAGCAGCGCUGAGUGAAGAAGUUUUCGAUCGUAAACUCUGUUGUAGAGAGACAUACGUAGUACUGACGUCCCUUGACGUAUCUAACAGAAAGCACGCUAACUACGUGCCAGCAGCGCGGUAAUACGUAGGUCAAGCGUGUCCGGAUUUAUUGGGCGUAAAGCGAGCGCAGGCGGUUUCUUAAGUCUGAUGUGAAAGCCCCCGGCUCAACCCGGGGAGGUUGGAAACUGGGAGACUUGAGUGCAGAAGAGGAGAGUGGAAUUUCCAUGUGUAGCGGUAAAUGCGUAGAAUAUGGAGGAACACAGUGGCGAAGGCGGCUCUCUGGUCUGUAACUGACGCUGAGGCUCGAAAGCGGGGGAGCAAACAGGAUUAGAUCCCUGGUAGUCCACGCCGUAACGAUGAGUGCUAAGUGUUGGAGGGUUUCCGCCCUUCAGUGCUGCAGCAAACGCAUUAAGCACUCAGUACGACCGCAAGGUUGAAACUCAAAGGAAUUGACGGGGGCCCGCACAAGCGGUGAGCAUGUGGUUUAAUUCGAAGCAACGCGAAGAACCUUACCAGGUCUUGACAUCCUUUGACCACUCUAGAGAUAGAGCUUUCCCUUCGGGGACAAAGUGACAGGUGGUGCAUGGUUGUCGUCGCUCGUGUCGUGAGAUGUUGGUUAAGUCCCGCAACGAGCGCAACCCUUAUUGUUAGUUGCCAUCAUUUAGUUGGGCACUCUAGCGAGACUGCCGGUGACAAACCGGAGGAAGGUGGGGAUGACGUCAAAUCAUCAUGCCCCUUAUGACCUGGGCUACACACGUGCUACAAUGGGAAGUACAACGAGUCGCUAGACCGCGAGGUCAUGCAAAUCUCUUAAAGCUUCUCUCAUUCGGAUUGCAGGCUGCAUCGCCUGCAUGAAGCCGGAAUCGCUAGUAAUCGCGGAUCAGCACGCCGCGGUGAAUACGUUCCCGGGCCUUGUACACCCGCCCGUCACACCACGAGAGUUUGUAACACCCGAAGUCGG